rnacentral:rRNA from 1 species
UCCUACGGGGGGCAGCAGUGGGGGAUAUUGCACAAUGGGGGGAACCCUGAUGCAGCGACGCCGCGUGGGUGAAGAAGCGCCUCGGCGCGUAAAGCCCUGUCAGCAGGGAAGAAAAUGACGGUACCUGAAGAAGAAGCCCCGGCUAACUACGUGCCAGCAGCCGCGGUAAUACGUAGGGGGCAAGCGUUAUCCGGAAUUACUGGGUGUAAAGGGAGCGUAGACGGCAAUGCAAGUCCGGAGUGGAAUGCGGCAGCUCAACUGCCGAACUGCUCUGGAAACUGUAUGGCUUGAGUGCAGGAGGGGUA